ACGAACGCUGGCGGCAUGCCUAACACAUGCAAGUCGCACGAUGGUCUUCGGAUCAUAGUGGCGCACGGGUGCGUAACGCGUGGGAAUCUGCCCUUGGGUUCGGAAUAACAGUUGGAAACGACUGCUAAUACCGGAUGAUGUCGAUAAGACCAAAGAUUUAUCGCCCGAGGAUGAGCCCGCGUCGGAUUAGCUAGUUGGUGGGGUAAAGGCCUACCAAGGCGACGAUCCGUAGCUGGUCUGAGAGGAUGAUCAGCCACACUGGGACUGAGACACGGCCCAGACUCCUACGGGAGGCAGCAGUGGGGAAUAUUGGACAAUGGGCGCAAGCCUGAUCCAGCAAUGCCGCGUGAGUGAUGAAGGCCUUAGGGUUGUAAAGCUCUUUUACCCGGGAAGAUAAUGACUGUACCGGGAGAAUAAGCCCCGGCUAACUCCGUG
rnacentral:rRNA from 1 species